GCCCUUCUCGGGUCACACCUGGAGAAUUUCCAGUACUCUACCAGUCUCGACUACGGGAGGGAGAGUCAAGCAGGGAAUACAUAUUCCAUUCCUAGCUUGGGGAGUGGCUAGUGAAUGGAAGACAAUCUGCUAUAAGU